UACGGGGGGGGGUAAGCGUUGUUCGGAAUUACUGGGCGUAAAGGGCUCGUAGGCGGCCAACUAAGUCAUACGUGAAAUCCCUCAGCUUAACUGGGGAACUGCGUGUGAUACUGGAUGGCUUGGAUUUGGGAGAGGGAUGCGGAAUUCCAGGUGUAGCGGUGAAAUGCGUAGAUAUCAGGAGGAACACCGGUGGCGAAGGCGGUUCUCUGGGCAUGAUCUGACGCUGAGGAGCGAAAGUGUGGGGAGCGAACAGG
rnacentral:rRNA from 1 species